rnacentral:rRNA from 1 species
ACCUACGGGAGGCAGCAGUGGGGAAUAUUGCACAAUGGGGGAAACCCUGAUGCAGCGACGCCGCGUGAGUGAAGAAGUAUUUCGGUAUGUAAAGCUCUAUCAGCAGGGAAGAAAAUGACGGUACCUGACUAAGAAGCCCCGGCUAACUACGUGCCAGCAGCCGCGGUAAUACGUAGGGGGCAAGCGUUAUCCGGAUUUACUGGGUGUAAAGGGAGCGUAGACGGCAUGGCAAGUCAGAUGUGAAAGCCCGGGGCUCAACCC